rnacentral:rRNA from 1 species
CGGUGAUCCUCGCUUGCGGGGUGAUCAGUGGCGAACGGGUGAGUAACACGUGGGCAACCUGCCCCCGGCUCUGGGAUAACUCCAAGAAAUUGGGGCUAAUACCGGAUGUGACCGCUGGCCGCAUGGUCUGGUGGUGGAAAGGGUUUCCGGCUGGGGAUGGGCCCGCGGCCUAUCAGCUUGUUGGUGGGGUAGUGGCCUACCAAGGCGACGACGGGUAGCCGGCCUGAGAGGGUGACCGGCCACACUGGGACUGAGACACGGCCCAGACUCCUACGGGAGGCAGCAGUGGGGAAUAUUGCGCAAUGGGCGGAAGCCUGACGCAGCGACGCCGCGUGGGGGAUGACGGCCUUCGGGUUGUAAACCUCUUUCAGCAGGGACGAAGCCUCACGGUGACGGUACCUGCAGAAGAAGCACCGGCCAACUACGUGCCAGCAGCCGCGGUAAUACGUAGGGUGCAAGCGUUGUCCGGAAUUAUUGGGCGUAAAGAGCUCGUAGGCGGUUGGUCGCGUCGGCUGUGAAAACCCGGAGCUCAACUCCGGGCCUGCAGUCGAUACGGGCCGACUUGAGUGUUGCAGGGGAGACUGGAAUUCCUGGUGUAGCGGUGAAAUGCGCAGAUAUCAGGAGGAACACCGGUGGCGAAGGCGGGUCUCUGGGCAACAACUGACGCUGAGGAGCGAAAGCGUGGGGAGCGAACAGGAUUAGAUACCCUGGUAGUCCACGCCGUAAACGUUGGGCGCUAGGUGUGGGGGCCAUUCCACGGUCUCCGUGCCGCAGCUAACGCAUUAAGCGCCCCGCCUGGGGAGUAC